AUACGGAGGAUCCGAGCGUUAUCCGGAUUUAUUGGGUUUAAAGGGUGCGCAGGCGGCCAUUUAAGUCAGCGGUUAAAUCGUGGGGCUCAACCCCAUUCUGCCGUUGAUACUGGGUGGCUUGAUUGCGGUCGAGGUUGGCGGAAUUCGUUGUGUAGCGGUGAAAUGCAUAGAUAUGACGAAGAACACCGAUUGCGUAGGCAGCUGACCGGACCGCAAAUGACGCUCAUGCACGAAAGUGCGGGGAUCGAACAGGAUUAGAUACCCUGGUAGUCCGCACAGUAAACGAUGAAUACUUGUUUUCGGCGAUAUAAUGUCGGAGGCAAAGCGAAAGCGAUAAGUAUUCCACCUGGGGAGUACGCCGGCAACGGUGAAACUCAAAGGAAUUGACGGGG
rnacentral:rRNA from 1 species